GAUGAACGCUGGCGGCGUGCCUAAUACAUGCAAGUCGAGCGAACGGACGAGAAGCUUGCGUCUCUGAUGUUAGCGGCGGACGGGUGAGUAACACGUGGAUAACCUACCUAUAAGACUGGGAUAACUUCGGGAAACCGGAGCUAAUACCGGAUGAUAUUUUGAACCGCAUGGUUCAAAAGUGAAUGACGGUCUUGCUGUCACUUAUAGCUGGAUCCGCGCUGCAUUAGCUAGUUGGUAAGGUAACGGCUUACCAAGGCAACGAUGCAUAGCCGACCUGAGAGGGUGAUCAGCCACACUGGAACUGAGACACGGUCCAGACUCCUACGGGAGGCAGCAGUAGGGAAUCUUGCGCAAUGGGCGGAAGCCUGACGGAGCAACGCCGCGUGAGUGAUGAAGGUCUUCGGGUCGUAAAACUCUGUUAUUAGGGAAGAACAUAUGUGUGAGUAUCUCUGCACGUCUUGACGGUACCUAAUCAGAAAGCCACGGCUAACUUCGUG
rnacentral:rRNA from 1 species